rnacentral:rRNA from 1 species
CUGGGCCUACGGGGGGCAGCAGUGGGGAAUAUUGCACAAUGGGGGAAACCCUGAUGCAGCGACGCCGCGUGAGUGAAGAAGAAUUUCGGUAUGUAAAGCUCUAUCAGCAGGGAAGAAAAAAGACGGUACCUGACUAAGAAGCCCCGGCUAACUACGUGCCAGCAGCCGCGGUAAUACGUAGGGGGCAAGCGUUAUCCGGAUUUACUGGGUGUAAAGGGAGCGUAGACGGUAUGGCAAGUCUGAAGUGAAAGCCCAGGGCUUAACCCUGGGACUGCUUUGGAAACUGU